AACUCAUUUUUAGGGGCUUAAGAUCUGAAUCCCCUGAAGAGAGACAUAAAGAGCAAACGAUGAAACGCUUGAGUGUUUCACUAGUGGUCCUGUGGCUCCAGUUUAAUUGGGUGAGCAGCCAGCAAAAGGUGCAGCAGAGCCCAGAAUCCCUCAGUGUCUCAGAGGGAGCCAAGGCCUCUCUUAACUGCACUUUCAGUGAUCGUGCUUCUAACAACUUCAGGUGGUACAGACAGCAUUCUGGAAAAGGCCUUGAGUUGCUGGUGUCCAUCUUCUCUGAUGGUGAAAAGGAAGAAGGCAGAUUCACAGCUCACCUCAGUAAAGCCAGCCUGCAUGUUUCCCUGCACAUCAGAGACUCCCAGCCUGGUGACUCUGCUCUCUACCUCUGUGCAGUGAGCACACAGUGCUCCCCGGGCACCUGCAGCCUGCACACAAACCUUGGGCCCCCACAAAGCCAGAACUAG